rnacentral:rRNA from 1 species
AGUGAACGCUGGCGGUAGGCCUAACACAUGCAAGUCGAACGGCAGCACAGUAAGAGCUUGCUCUUACGGGUGGCGAGUGGCGGACGGGUGAGGAAUACAUCGGAAUCUACUUUUUCGUGGGGGAUAACGUAGGGAAACUUACGCUAAUACCGCAUACGACCUACGGGUGAAAGCAGGGGAUCUUCGGACCUUGCGCGAUUGAAUGAGCCGAUGUCGGAUUAGCUAGUUGGCGGGGUAAAGGCCCACCAAGGCGACGAUCCGUAGCUGGUCUGAGAGGAUGAUCGGCCACACUGGAACUGAGACACGGUCCAGACUCCUACGGGAAGCAGCAGUGGGGAAUAUUGGACAAUGGGCGCAAGCCUGAUCCAGCCAUACCGCGUGGGUGAAGAAGGCUUUCGGGUUGUAAAGCCCUUUUGUUGGGAAAGAAAAGCAGCAGGUUAAUACCCCGCUGUUCUGACGGUACCCAAAGAAUAAGCACCGGCUAACUUCGUG